rnacentral:lncRNA from 1 species
AGGAUACGGAGUUUUUUUGUAGGCGAGGGCCUCAAGUUUCUCCUUGGCAGAAUGGUAAUAUAAUCACUACUCCCCAGGCAGCUGAGAAGAUUAAAGGCACUCAUAUCUCUGAAGAAAGCUUGAUAUGAACAAGGAAGUACGUCACCCUCAGUGCUGUUGGCAGCCUUCCUGUGACCAUGAGGAGAGUCAGCUUCAAGAUGAUCCUUUGGAUAAAAGAGCAAAGAAUCAGAAAGAUCCUGGUUCCUUGAUGACUUCAACAAGCCAUUAGGUCAAUCAACAUCCUGAAAUUUGCUCUAUUUCUGGAUUCUAGUUAGUCAGCUGCUGUGUCAUGAGGGCACUCAAACAGCCCUAUGAAGAGGUCCAUGUGGUAAGGAACUGAGGACUUCUGCCAACAGCCAGCACUAACUUGCCAGGUAUGUGAAUGUGCCAUCUUGGAAGCAAGUUCUCCAACUCCAGACAAGCUCUCUAAUAACUGUGGCCCCAGCUGACAUCUUGACUGCAACCCCACGAGGGAAUCUGAGCCAGCACCACCAAGCUAAGCCACUCCUAAAUUCCUGACUUGCAGAAAAUGUGUGAAAAUAAAUGUUUAUUGUUUUAAGCCAUUCAG